AUGUCUGUCCUCUCUCUCCCUCCCAGACAGACACAGUCUCUCUCUCUCCCUCCCAGAAGACAGACAAACAGUCUCUCUCUCUCCCUCCCAGACAGACAGACAGUCUCUCUCUCUCCCUCCCAGACAGACAGUCUCUCUCUCUCCCUCCCAGACAGGACAGUCUCUCUCUCUUCCCCAGACAGACAGUCUCUCUCUCUCCCAGACAGACAGACAGUCUCUCUCUCUCCCAGACAGACAGACAGUCUCUCUCUCUCCCAGACAGACCGUCUCUCUCUCUCCCCAGACAGCAGUCUCUCUCUCUCCCAGACAGACAGAGUCUCCUCUCCCAAGACAGCAGAUCUCUCUCUCUCAGACAGACAGACUCUCUCUCUCACAGACAGGUCCUCACAGACAUACAGUCUCUCUCCCAGCAACAGACUUACCGUCUCUCUCCCCAGACACAGACAUACAGUCUCUCUCUCCCAGACAAGACAUACAGUCUCUCUCUCCAGACACAGACCAGUCUCUCUCUCUCCCACACACAGACAGUCUCUCUCUCCCCCCACACAGACCUCUCCUCUCCUCUCUUCUCUCUCCCACACACAGACAGUCUCUCUCUCUCUCUUCCACCACACAGACAGUCUCUCUCUCUCCCACACCACGACAGUCCUCUUCUCCCACACACAGCAGUCUCUCUCUCUCUCCCACACACAGACAGUCUCCCUCUCUCUUCCCCCACACAGACAGUCUCCCUCUCUCUCUCCCCACACACAGACAGUCUCUCUCUCUCUCUCCCAGACAGAGUCUCUCUCUCUUCCCAGACAGAGUCUCUCUCUCUCCCAGACAGAGUCUCUCUCUCUCCAAGACAGACGUCUCUCUCUCACAACACUCUCUCUCUCACAGACAGACAGACUCUCUCUCUCACAGCAGAGAUCUCUCUCUCACGACAGCGUCUCCCAGACAUACAGUCUCUCUCUCCCAGACACAGACAUACAGUCUCUCUCUCCCAGACACAGACAUCAGUCUUCUCUCUCCCACACACAGACAGUCUCUUCUCUCCCACACACCGACAGUCUCUCUCCCACACCCAGACAGUCUCCUCUCUCUCUCUCCCACACACAGACAGUCUCUCUCUCUCCCACACACAGACAGUCUCUCUCUCUCUCCACACAGACGUCUCUCUCUCUCUCUCUCUCCCCACACACAGACAGUCUCUCUCUCUCUCUCUCUCACCGACAGACAGUCUCUCUCUCACACACAGACAGUCUCUCUCUCACACAGACAGUCUCUCUCCCACACACAGACCGUUUCUCUCUCUCCACCCACAGACAGUUUCUCUCUCCCACCACAGCAGCAGACACAGUCUCUCUCUCUCCCAGACAACGCAGUUCUCUCUCUCUCCAGACACAGACAGUCUCUCUCUCUCCCAGAACACGACAGUCUCUCUUCUCUCCCAGACACAGACAGUCUCUCUCUCUCCCCGACACACAACAGUCUCUCUCUCACAGACACAGACAGUCUCUCUCUCACAGACACAGACAGUCUCUCUCUCACAGACAGACAGUCUCUCUCUCACAGACAGAACAGUCUCUCUCUCACAGACAGACAGUCUCUCUCUCACAGACAGACAGUUUCUCUCUCACAGACAGACAGUCUCUCUCUCACACAGACAGACAGUUUCUCUCUCACGACGACAGUCUCUCUCUCACCGACACAGUCUCUCUCUCACAGAACAGAGAGUCUCUCUCACACACAGACCGUUCUCUCACACACCGACAGUCUCUCACACACAGACAGUCUCUCUCACAACAGACAGUCUCUCUCUACACACAGACAGUCUCUCUCCCACAACAGACAGGCUCUCUCUCUCACACACAGACAGUUCUCUCUCUCCCCCACACAGACCGUUUCUUCUCUCUCCCCACACACGGACAGUCUCACUCUCUCCCACCCACAGACAGUCUCUCUGUCUCCCAGACACAGACAGUCUCCUCUCUCCACACAGACCGUCUCUCUCUCUCCCAGCCACAACAGUCUCUCUCUCUCCCGACACAGACAGUCUCUCUCUUCUCCCCAGACACAUACCGUCUCUCUCUCUCCCCGACACAGACAGUC
ensembl:lncRNA